UGGCGGCGUGCUUAAACAUGCAAGUCGAACGCUGAAGCACCAGCUUGCUGGUGUGGAUGAGUGGCGAACGGGUGAGUAAUACGUGAGUAACCUGCCCUUGACUCUGGGAUAAGCCCGGGAAACUGGGUCUAAUACUGGAUGCUACAUGUCACCGCAUGGUGGUGUGUGGAAAGGGUUUACUGGUCUUGGAUGGGCUCACGGCCUAUCAGCUUGUUGGUGAGGUAAUGGCUCACCAAGGCGACGACGGGUAGCCGGCCUGAGAGGGUGACCGGCCACACUGGGACUGAGACACGGCCCAGACUCCUACGGGAGGCAGCAGUGGGGAAUAUUGCACAAUGGGCGAAAGCCUGAUGCAGCGACGCCGCGUGAGGGAUGACGGCCUUCGGGUUGUAAACCUCUUUCAGCAGGGAAGAAGCCACAAGUGACGGUACCUGCAGAAGAAGCGCCGGCUAACUACGUGCCAGCAGCCGCGGUAAUACGUAGGGCGCAAGCGUUGUCCGGAAUUAUUGGGCGUAAAGAGCUCGUAGGCGGUUUGUCGCGUCUGCUGUGAAAGCCCGGGGCUUAACCCCGGGUGUGCAGUGGGUACGGGCAGACUAGAGUGCAGUAGGGGAGACUGGAAUUCCUGGUGUAGCGGUGGAAUGCGCAGAUAUCNNAGGAACNNCGAUGGCGAANGCAGGUCUCUGGGCUGNUAC
rnacentral:rRNA from 1 species